rnacentral:rRNA from 1 species
UGCCAGCCGCCGCGGUAAUACGAAGGGUGCUAGCGUUGUUCGGAAUUACUGGGCGUAAAGAGCAUGUAGGCGGAUGAAUUAGUCAGAGGUGAAAGCCCCGAGCUCAACUUGGGAACUGCCUUUGAAACUGCAGGGCUUGAGGUCGUGAGAGGAGACUGGAAUUCCUAGUGUAGCGGUGAAAUGCAUAGAUAUUAGGAAGAACACCAGUGGCGAAGGCGAGUCUCUGGCACGAUUCUGACGCUGAGGCGCGAAAGCUAGGGGAGCGAACGGGAUUAGAUAC